rnacentral:rRNA from 1 species
GAAGUGCGUGCCGCUUGCGGCCGGCGCACAGGUGCUGCAUGGCUGUCGUCAGCUCGUGCUGUGAAGUGUUGGGUUAAGUCCCGCAACGACGCGCAACCCCUGCUGCCUGUUGCCACCACGAGAGGUGGGGACUCAGGCGGGACCGCCGGUGACAAACCGGAGGAAGGUGGGGACGACGUCAAGUCAUCAUGGCCCUUAUGUCCUGGGCUACACACGUGCUACAAUGGCCGGUACAGAGCGCAGCGAGGCCGCGAGGCGGAGCGAAUCGCUUAAAGCCGGUCCCAGUACGGAUUGGAGUCUGCAACCCGACUCCAUGAAGUUGGAAUCGCUAGUAAUCGCGCAUCAGCAUGGCGCGGUGAAUACGUUCCCGGGCCUU